rnacentral:rRNA from 1 species
UGGGGAAUAUUGGACAAUGGGCGCAAGCCUGAUCCAGCCAUGCCGCGUGAGUGAUGAAGGCCCUAGGGUUGUAAAGCUCUUUCGCCAGGGACGAUAAUGACGGUACCUGGUAAAGAAGCCCCGGCUAACUUCGUGCCAGCAGCCGCGGUAAUACGAAGGGGGCUAGCGUUGUUCGGAAUUACUGGGCGUAAAGCGCACGUAGGCGGAUCACUAAGUCAGGGGUGAAAUCCCGGGGCUCAACCUCGGAACUGCCUCUGAUACUGGUGAUCUUGAGUCCGAGAGAGGUGAGUGGAACUCCGAGUGUAGAGGUGAAAUUCGUAGAUAUUCGGAAGAACACCAGUGGCGAAGGCGGCUCACUGGCUCGGUACUGACGCUGAGGUGCGAAAGCGUGGGGAGCAAACA